rnacentral:tRNA from 1 species
AGGGAUGUCGCGCAGCUUGGUAGCGCGUUUUGUUUGGGUACAAAAAUGUCACAGGUUCAAAUCCGUCAUCCCUA